rnacentral:rRNA from 1 species
ACGAGCGCUGGCGGCGUGUCUAAUACAUGCAGUCGAGCGAACGGACUCAGAAAGCUUGCUUCAGAGGCGAGUUAGCGGCGAACGGGUGAGUAACGCGUAAACAAUCUGCCUUCGGGUCCGGGAUAACAUCGGGAAACUGGUGCUAACACUGGAUAUUAUGACCACAUCGCAUGAUGAGGUUAUGAAACGGGGCUUCGGCUAGGCCUGAAGAUGAGUUUGCGUUCCAUUAGCUAGUUGGUGUGGUAACGGCGCACCAUGGCGACGAUGGGUAGCCGGCCUGAGAGGGUGAUCGGCCACAUUGGAACUGAGACACGGUCCAGACUCCUACGGGAGGCAGCAGUAGGGAAUAUUGCGCAAUGGGCGUUGAGCCUGACGCAGCGACGCCGCGUGAGUGAUGAAGGCCUUCGGGUCGUAAAGCUCUGUCAGCAGGGAAGAAGGUACAGUAUGUGAAUAAUGUGCUUUACUUGACGGUACCUGCAGAGGAAGCCCCGGCUAAUUACGUGCCAGCAGCCGCGGUAACACGUAAGGGGCAAGCGCUGUCCGGAAAUCACUGGGCGUAAAGGGAGCGUAGGCGGUCAAAUUAAGUCAGAUGUGAAAGUUUGCGGCUCAACCGUAAAAUUGCCUUUGAUACUGGUUUAACUAGAGUACCGGAGGGGAACGCGGAAUUCCUGGUGUAGCGGUGAACUGCGCAGAUAUCACGAAGAACACCGAUGGCGAAGGCAGCUUUCUGGACGGUAACUUGACGCUGAGGCUCGAAAGCGUGGGGAGCGACCCGGAUUAGAUACCCUGGUA